rnacentral:misc_RNA from 1 species
UGGUUCUGGCAUCGAUGAAGAACGCAGCGAAAUGCGAUAAGUAAUGUGAAUUGCAGAAUUCAGUGAAUCAUCGAAUCUUUGAACGCACAUUGCGCCCGCUAGUAUUCUGGCGGGCAUGCCUGUUCGAGCGUCAUUUCAACCCUCAAGCUCUGCUUGGUGUUGGGAAUCGGCGUAGCGGCCUUCGGGCAGCUGCCGUUCCCUAAAUCUAGUGGCGGUCCCGCUGUAGCCUCCUCUGCGUAGUAGUUUUCUCCUCGCACCGGCAGCUUGGUGGCGACCUCGCCGUAAAACCCCCAACUUCUGAAAGGUUGACCUCGAAUCAGGUAGGAAUACCCGCUGA